rnacentral:rRNA from 1 species
GAUGAACGCUGGCGGCGUGCCUAAUACAUGCAAGUCGAGCGAACGGACGAGAAGCUUGCUUCUCUGAUGUUAGCGGCGGACGGGUGAGUAACACGUGGAUAACCUACCUAUAAGACUGGGAUAACUUCGGGAAACCGGAGCUAAUACCGGAUAAUAUUUUGAACCGCAUGGUUCAAAAGUGAAAGACGGUCUUGCUGUCACUUAUAGAUGGAUCCGCGCUGCAUUAGCUAGUUGGUAAGGUAACGGCUUACCAAGGCAACGAUGCAUAGCCGACCUGAGAGGGGGGUAGGCCGCCCUGGAAGUGAGACACCGACCCGACUCCUAAGGGAGGGCGCAGUCGGGAACGGUACGCAACAGGGGGAAACCUUGCGGAACAACCGCAAGUGAGGUGUAGCAGCGCUCCGAUCGGAAAAACCGGUUAUGGGGGGAAAACCUAUGUGGAAGGUAACGUGGACAUCUUGACGGUAACUAAUCAGAAAGCCACGGCUAACUACGUG